UCAUCUCCAGCGAGAAGAAAACCAACAUAGGAAGUGAGGCUGAAGAAAGUGGUGGCUGGGAAUUUGUUAAACACACACACACACAGCCAGCCAAACAAACCAGCAAACAAACAGAAGGGUCUCCACGAGAAAGUUAAAACAUGCUAAGCUUCUUGACUCUUAGAAGCGGAAUCUCCGAUAACCUCACAGUGCCUGGGCUCAGGGGUUACAACAAAGGUAGACACCCACCCACCGGGUUGGACAGAGUCAGGGAUCCCACAUGGCAGGCCCGCUCGAUGCAAACAGAUUUUUACAGCAUACAUCCAGGAUCUGGAGAGGGACUUGGGAGGGCUGGUUUUCUUUACUGCCACCCUCUUCCUUUUUUCUGCCCUGUAUUUUCAUUUUUUCUCAUUUCUAUCUCAUAGAGUCAACUCUGAAGCUGUUGAAAGAGGAUUUGCCCGUUGCUCCUGGCAGACACCUGGUUGUCCUUAACCACAAUCAGCUUUACUUAAACCCAUGGCUGGCUUCAAAAGGGGCUGGAGUUCAAGCAUCAUUGGCUAAUGAUUUAAUGAAUACGGCCUGUGUAAUGAAGCCUCCGUGAAAACGCGAAGGACCGGGUUUGGCGAGCUUCCGGGUUAGAGAGUUUGAGGCGCGUCCAGGAGAAGGGCCAGUGCGGAGAGCCGCAAUGCAGCGUGCCCCCUGCAUGUCUUCCAUCUGGCUGUUUCUGAGUUAUGUCGUCAACAAUAAACCUGUGGCCUAGAAGCUCCUCAUAUGAGUGGUCUCAACUUGCUACUCUUGUCUCCCAUUUAUUCCUCACCCUACUCCAAUUGGACUUUGACUCCAUACAUCCAAAGAAAUCUCUCUUGUCAAGAUCACCCACAAGCUCCUUGAUGUUCUUCAUCUGGCAAGGCCUGAAAACAAAUUGUAGCACCAUGAGACAGAACAGGUUCUGAAAUUAGCAACAACAGGAAAAAGGGGAGAAAGCUACCCUCCUCCAUUCCCUGAAGGCCAGAACAGCAGAUGCGCCUAUUUUCAGAGGUUCUGCUGGAUUAGAGGUCCUGGUUCCCAGUGGGACUACCCUUCCACCAAGGAACGUGGUAAGGGAGAGAGGACACAUUCACAAGAAGAUUACUAUCGGCGGCGGAGGGUAACGGUUCAUAACGUGAUGCUGAAGGCGUGCUGAAGGAAGACCGUGGGGAAGCUGGGGGUUGCGCUAGACCCCAAUAGAUGUGUGCAAAUCAGAAAAAAGGAAAAGAGAAAAUCCCCAAAGAUGAAAAUGCCAUCCAUGUGAUUUGGAGAGAAGGAACUUGGUCAAUACUAAGAACAGGACCUGGUCUAGCAGCAGAACCUGGAGCUCACACUGCAGUCAUGCAUCACUCCUGUGUGAGUGUAGCAGCUGAUGGCACCUUCCCGUUGAAAUCCGAGGAGCUCCCAAAAGGUGGCUGUUUCAAAGUGAGCUCCGUGUUUCUAUGGACUCCUCAGGAAA